rnacentral:rRNA from 1 species
AUCUAUGGGCAUACUAGCCUAAAUGUGCCCAAUCUCAUCUGAUCUUGGAAACUAAGCAGGAUCGGGUCUGGUCAGUACUUGGAUGGGAGAUUUACAGCCCACCCCAAUGAUC